GAAAUUCCUUAUUAAUUUUAUCCCCAAAAUUUACCCUUUGAAACCCCUAAAAUUUGCCCCUAAAAUGGGUAUCCCCAAAACACAUCUAAUUUUCCCCCCUUAUUCAUAGGUUAUAAUGGCCUUCUGUUUUCAUACCUUCGUUUUUCCAACUAAUUUGUCCAUCAAAGUGAGAAGUAAUGGUGUUCGGAAGCUUCAAACAGAGGGGCACUCUUCUACCAAAAGCUCCUAAGGGUUGGGAAAGGAGUUGUGUUGUUUGAUGAACUUGCUGAUCUUCUUCAAAGUAGCGCCUUGAGAGUAGCUACCAUGAAUUCUCUGUUUUCAUUUAACAUGACUUUGUAAAAUGGCAUAUAAGUGUUUGUUGCUUUGUCUUUAUGUAUCGUUCGUUCUAACAUUUUAACGAGUGUAUUAUGUUUCAUUAGUUUAAAAAAUCCGGUGUUUUACGUUCGAAAAUUUUUAUAUCUAUUUUAGAAACUUCUAUUUUUUGACCGGUGAUGGGAAAGAAAGGGAGUGGAUGGUUCGCGACGGUGAAGGAAGUGUUCAAAUCAUCUCACAAAGACUUACCAGACAAAAAAUGGUGUAAGGCCUUUUGGUGUAUCUCUACUGGUUGCUGGAUAUGACGAUAAUGGUCCAUAAUUGUAUCAGGUGGAUCCAUCUGGUUCCUAUUUCUCAUGGAAAGCCUCAGCAAUGGGGAAAAAUGUCUCAAAUGCAAAAACAUUUCUUGAGAAAAGAUACACUGAUGAUAUGGAGCUUUAUGAUGCUGUGCAUACUACUAUUUUGACUCUCAAAGAGGGAUUUGAAGGACAAAUUUCACGGAAAAACAUUGAAAUUGGGAUUAUUGGAACUGACAAAAAAUUCAGGC